CCUGGUUGAUCCUGCCAGUAAUCAUAUGCUUGUAUCAAAGAUUAAGCCAUGCAUGUCUAAGUACAUGCCGAAAUAAGGCGAAACCGCGAAUGGCUCAUUAAAUCAGUUAUGGUUCCUUAGAUCGUUUCUUCCUACUUGGAUAACUGUGGCAAUUCUAGAGCUAAUACAUGCAGUGAGCCUGGAGCCCUUUGGGUAACGGGUGCUUUUAUUAGACCAACGAAGAUCGAUCGGGCGGCCCGUAUUGUGUGGUGACUCUGGAUAACUUUGUGCUGAUCGCAUGGCCACGAGCCGGCGACGUUUCUUUCAAGUGUCUGCCUUAUCAACUUUCGAUGGUAGGUUACUUGCUUACCAUGGUUGUUACGGGUAACGGAGAAUCAGGGUUCGAUUCCGGAGAGGGAGCCUGAGAAACGGCUACCACAUCCAAGGAAGGCAGCAGGCGCGCAAAUUACCCACUCCCAAUCCCGGCACGGGGAGGUAGUGACGAAAAAUAACAAUACGGGACUCUUUUGAGGCCCCGUAAUUGAAAUGAGUACACUCUAAAUCCUUUAACGAGGAUCAAUUGGAGGGCAAGUCUGGUGCCAGCAGCCGCGGUAAUUCCAGCUCCAAUAGCGUAUACUAAAGCUGCUGCGGUUAAAAAGCUCGUAGUUGGAUCUCAGUUCCAGACGAGUAGUGCAUCUACCCGAUGCGACGGCUCGGCGAGCUUGAAGCAUCAUGCCGGUUCUUUCUUGGUGCACUUCAUUGUGUGCCUCGAGAUGGCCGGUGCUUUUACUUUGAAAAAAUUAGAGUGCUCAACGCAGGCGAGUCGCCUGAAUAAACUUGCAUGGAAUAAUAGAACAAGACCUCGUUUCUGUUCUGUUGGUUUUUGGAAUACGAGGUAAUGAUUAAGAGGGACGGACGGGGGCAUUCGUAUUGCGGCGCUAGAGGUGAAAUUCUUGGACCGUCGCAAGACGAACUACUGCGAAAGCAUUUGCCAAGAAUGUUUUCAUUGAUCAAGAACGAAAGUCAGAGGUUCGAAGGCGAUCAGAUACCGCCCUAGUUCUGACCAUAAACGAUGCCAACCAGCGAUCCGCCUGAGUUACUCAAAUGACUCGGCGGGCAGCUUCCGGGAAACCAAACCAAAGUAUUUGGGUUCCUUAAUUUGACUCAACACGGGAAAACUUACCCGGCCCGGACACUGGGAGGAUUGACAGAUUGAGAGCUCUUUCUUGAUUCGGUGGAUGGUGGUGCAUGGCCGUUCUUAGUUGGUGGAGCGAUUUGUCUGGUUAAUUCCGAUAACGAACGAGACUCUAGCCUAUUAAAUAGGUGCGGGGUUCCCAGCACCUUACAACCUUCUUAGAGGGACAAGCGGCUCCUAUCCGCACGAAACAGAGCAAUAACAGGUCUGUGAUGCCCUUAGAUGUCCGGGGCCGCACGCGCGCUACACUGAAGGAAGCAGCGUGUCUUUAUCCCUGUCUGAAAAGACUGGGUAACCCGUGGAACUUCUUUCGUGAUUGGGCGCGAUAGGGGGCCUUGCAUCUGAACCGAGGGAAUUCCAGUAAGCGGAGUCCCUAAGCUCGCGUUGAUUACCGAUCACUUGGCUUUGUACACACCGCCCUCCGCUACUACAGAUUUGUUUUUAGGGAGGGUCUCCUCCGGACCGGAUUGGUCGGGCGGCGGGUGCACGAUUGGAAAGAUGACCAAACUUGAUCAUUUAGAGGAAGUAAAAGUCGUAACAAGGUUUCCGUAGGUGAACCUGCGGAAG
rnacentral:rRNA from 1 species